rnacentral:rRNA from 1 species
CCUACGGGGGGCUGCAGUGGGGAAUAUUGCACAAUGGGGGAAACCCUGAUGCAGCGACGCCGCGUGAGUGAAGAAGUAAUUCGUUAUGUAAAGCUCUAUCAGCAGGGAAGAAAAUGACGGUACCUGAGUAAGAAGCCCCGGCUAACUACGUGCCAGCAGCCGCGGUAAUACGUAGGGGGCAAGCGUUAUCCGGAUUUACUGGGUGUAAAGGGAGCGUAGGCGGCAGUGCAAGUCUGGAGUGAAAGGCGGGGGCUCAACCCCCGGACUGCUCUGGAAACUGUACGGCUGGAGUGCAGGAGAGGUAAGUGGAAUUCCUAGUGUAGCGGUGAAAUUCGUAGAUAUUGGGUAGAACACCAGUGGCGAAGGCGACUAUCUGGCUGUACAUUGACGCUGAGGCUCGAAAGCAUGGGGAUCAAACAGGAUUAGAUACCCUUGUAGUC